rnacentral:misc_RNA from 1 species
UCUCCGUUGGUGAACCAGCGGAGGGAUCAUUACAGGACUCGCAAGACUCCUUCACCCUGUGAACCUCACUACAAGCACGUUGCUUCGGCGGGUGUCCCGGCGGGGGUUUUCCCUCGCCGGGGCGCACAGCCCGCCGGCAGCCUACUAUACUCUGUCUCUUUGCGUUGGCAUCUCGAGGAAAAACAAACAAGUUAAAACUUUCAACAACGGAUCUCUUGGUUCUG